GUCUACGGCCAUACCACCCUGAACUUGCCUGAUUUCAUCUGAUCUCGGAAGCUAAGGAGGGUUGGGCCUGGUUAGUACUUGGAUGGGAGACCAUCUAGGAAGAUCAGAUGCUGUAGGCA
rnacentral:rRNA from 1 species